AUUGAACGCUGGCGGCAGGCCUAACACCUGCAAGUCGAACGAGUGGCGGACGGGUUAGUAAUGUCUGGGAAACUGCCUGAUGGAGGGGGAUAACUACUUGAAACGGUAGCUAAUACCGCAUACCAUCGGAUGUUCCCAGAUGGGAUUAGCUUGUUGGUGGGGUAACGGCUCACCAAGGCGACGAUCCCUAGCUGGUCUGAGAGGAUGACCAGCCACACUGGAACGGAGACACGGUCCAGACUCCUACGGGAGGCAGCAGUGGGGAAUAUUGCACAAUGGGCGCAAGCCUGAUGCAGCCAUGCCGCGUGUAUGAAGAAGGCCCUAGGGUUGUAAAGUACUUUCAGUCGGGAGGCGUUACCGACAGAAGAAGCACCGGCUAACUCCGUGCCAGCAGCCGCGGUAAUUC
rnacentral:rRNA from 1 species